rnacentral:rRNA from 1 species
GACGAACGCUGGCGGCGUGCUUAACACAUGCAAGUCGAACGGAAAGGCCCUGCUUUUGUGGGUGCUCGAGUGGCGAACGGGUGAGUAACACGUGAGUAACCUGCCCUUGACUUUGGGAUAACUUCAGGAAACUGGGGCUAAUACCGGAUAGGAGCUCCUGCUGCAUGGUGGGGGUUGGAAAGUUUCGGCGGUUGGGGAUGGACUCGCGGCUUAUCAGCUUGUUGGUGGGGUAGUGGCUUACCAAGGCUUUGACGGGUAGCCGGCCUGAGAGGGUGACCGGGCAAAAUGGGAAUUGGGAAAGGGCCAGACUCCUACGGGAGGCAGCAGUGGGGAAUAUUGCACAAUGGGCGGAAGCCUGAUGCAGCAACGCCGCGUGCGGGAUGACGGCCUUCGGGUUGUAAACCGCUUUCGCCUGUGACGAAGCGUGAGUGACGGUAAUGGGUAAAGAAGCACCGGCUAACUACGUG